AAAAGUUUUGCAAUCUUGAAACGUUGACUAUAAAAAAAAAUUCUAAGAUGGAAAAUCCUACUUUUCUGUGUAAUAGAAAGUGGACUUCUGAGGCACAACCUUGAAGAUCCCAUUUGAUGUGAGGUGCCUCCAGAAUGUCGCACACCUACACGCUCUGGGUUAACGAUCCGGCGUUGCCGUGAGCUGUGGUGUAGGUCGAAGAUGCGGCUUGAAUUCUGCAUUGCUGUGGCUGUGGUGUAGGCCGCAGCAAGAGCUCCAAUUAGAUCUCUAGCCUGGAACCUCCAUAUGCCGAGGGUGCAGCCCUAGAAAAGAUGGAAAGACAGGAAAAAAAAAGAAAAAAGAAAGCAAGCAAAGGAAGAGAUUGGAUUUGAGAGGAUGUGAGCAAAGCACGUAGAUAGGGCUGGAAGGGAGGGCAGUACAGACGCCGAGUUUGGUGCCUUUAGGAGUGGGUGCUGUAGACUGUGGAACAGUCUGGACGUGUCAUUAGUGUUUUGGAAACUGAGAAACAGGUUAAUGUAGAGUCAUUACCUCGGCAGAAUUUGGAAGCUGAACCAGAGGGAGAGGUGGUGCUGCUGGUGAGAAGCGGGAGUAGAGGUACCAGCAGUCUCUAGAGGCCUAGGGGUGGCAGGUGGGGCUCGCUGGCAGGGCCGACUGGACGUCUGUAGGAAGUCCUCUAGGGUCUGGCUUCACUUCCCUGUCCCAGCAGUGGCACAGUGUACGCUUUGGUAAAUAAAGUUUGAACCAAAGGGAUGCCAGGUUUGCGGAGCGGGGAGGGUGGUAGGUACACAGGUGAGGUGAAAGUUUGCGUAUUAAGUGAGAACCUCAGAACAUCCCAGAAUUCUUGCAUCCCAGCAGCAGAUUCGAAGAUUCUUUUUUGAGAAAGAACUGGCUCAGAUGUAAAGGUCUGCAGCCUCUGACAGUUGCCACACUGUACUCUCGUCAUUGAUGGCAUUGCUGUGCCUUAAACAACUACACCCGUUUUGUUCUCUCUCCCAGUUUCUGAUGGCCAGGAUUUAGGAAGGGCGGGGCGGUAGUUUUGGCUUGGAUUUCCCUGUAGGUUGUGGUCGUGUGGUGGCUGCAGACAGAACAGCAGGGGUGCCAAAGCAGCUUGGGCUGGCCGGUCGUCUCCCCUCCUGCGGUCUCUCGGGACAGGCGGAUAGCAAGAGAACCGAGUGUGAGUCUGUCGCCUCUAUGACUCAGCCUCAGGGGCCAGAGCAGCAUCUCCGCCGUCUCGCAAGUCUGUUCCGCUUCGGGGGGAGGCCACGUAGGUUCCGUCUCUCUUUCUUCUUCUUGUCUGGGCCCACAGCAUGAGGAGGUUCCCAGGACAGAGAUCAAAACCACACGACCGCAGCAACUGGAGGUGCUGCAGUGCCAGUGCCAGUGCCGGGUCCUAACCUGCUGCACCGCUGGGGAACUCCCAGCUUCCGUCUUCUGGUAGCAGUUGAAUGAAGCACGCGAAGGAUGGCAUUGUAGCUGUCAUUGGAGGAGCUGGUUUAUCACAGUUUACCCUUGGUUGUAAGGCAUCUCUCCCACGGGCAAGUUACAGCCACACCCUCUCCCCACACCCGCAGUCUCCUCCUCGUGGCAUUGGCUUCCAUUCAGGAUCUCGUCACCCAUGGCCAGAUGAACUUUCUCAGGUGUGGGUCUGGAUCUGGACACACGUGAACCGAAGAGACGAGUAAUCUGCCAUUACCUCCCACUUAAAAUCGGUGUCAGGCUGUGGCGAAUUGCUGCAGACACAGCUGUUCCGAAAGGGGGACGCAGGCACAGCAGCCACUGGGUCCAGAGCUUUCUGAGAUCCAGCCAGGCACAAGCUGCGAGUCCUCGAUGAGGACUCAGUUCUCUUACCUGGAAGUGAUUCUCCAGGGCUCUUGGCUCUGCUCUGAGGGUUCUGGGUUUGCCUCCUGAGUUAUCCUUUUCCUUAAGUAAUGUCUGUUUAAAAAAAAAUUGUGUUAAGGAAGUUCCCUUUUGGUGCAGAGGGUUAAGGAUCCAAUGCUGCUGUAGCUGUGGUGCGCAGGUUGUUGGUGCAAGUUCUAUCCCUGGCCCGGGAACUUUCUUGUGCUGUGGGUGUGACCCCCUAAAAAUUGUGUUAAAAUACACAACAUAGGAGUUCCCAUUGUGGUGCAGUGGUUAAGGAAUCCGACUAGGAACCAUGAGGUUGCGGGUUCGGUCCCUGCCCUUGCUCAGUGGGUUGACGAUCCGGCGUUGCCGUGAGCUGUGGUGUAGGUUGCAGACAAAGCUCGGAUCCCGCGUUGCUGUGGCUCUGGCAUAGGCCCGUGGCUACAGCUCCAAUUAGACCCCUAGCCUGGGAACCUCCAUAUGCCGUGGGAGCGGCCCAAAGAAAUAGCAAAAAAAGACCAAAAAAAAAAAAAAAAUACACAACAUAAAAUUUACCAUGUUGGAGUUCCCACUGUGGCGCAGUGGUUAACGAAUCUGACUAGGAGCCAUGAGGUGGUGGGUUUGAUCCCUGGCCUUGCUCAGUGGGUUAAGGAUCCGGUGUUGCCGUGAGCUGUGGUGUAGGUUGCAGACACAGCUCAGAUCCCGCGUUGCUAUGGCUCUGGUGUAGGCUGGUGGCUACAGCUCU
rnacentral:lncRNA from 1 species